AUCCGGCUGAUGAAUCCCAAAUAGGACAAAACGUACGUCCUUGAU
rfam:Schistosoma mansoni, Puerto Rico, WGS project CABG01000000 data, contig: 0256